rnacentral:misc_RNA from 1 species
GCAUCUACCGAUUGAAUGGAGAGGUAAAAUCUCCGUACUAUGACGCGUUGGGGUCAAACCUAAUGCAGUCGUGGGAAGUGGAUUAAACCUUUCCAUUUAGAGGAAGAUGAAGUCGUAACAAGGUUUCCGUAGGUGAACCUGCAGAAGGAUCAAGAUCGGAUGAGCGUCGUGUAGGGAAGAGUGUAGAUACAGGUGGUCGCCGUAGCAUUAAACAAAAAAAACAACAAACUACUCUAAUUACCUACAUAAGACAGCCUGCGAACACACGAAGUACACC